CGAGGAAUCUUGCGCAAUGGGGGCAACCCUGACGCAGCAACGCCGCGUGAGUGAGGAAGGCCUUCGGGUCGUAAAGCUCUGUCGGAUGGAAAGAAACGGAUGCGGGUUAAAAGCCUUCAUCCCUGACGGUACCAUCAGAGGAAGCACCGGCUAACUCCGUGCCAGCAGCCGCGGUAAUACGGGGGGUGCAAGCGUUGUUCGGAAUCAUUGGGCAUAAAGCGCGUGUAGGCGGCUUGGUAAGUCAGGUGUGAAAGCCCUGGGCUCAACCCAGGAAGUGCACUUGAAACUGCCUUGCUUGAGUACGGGAGAGGAAAGCGGAAUUCCUGGUGUAGAGGUGAAAUUCGUAGAUAUCAGGAGGAACACCGGUGGCGAAGGCGGCUUUCUGGCCCAAUACUGACGCUGAGACGCGAAAGCGUGGGGAGCAAACAG
rnacentral:rRNA from 1 species